UACGGAGGGUGCAAGCGUUAUCCGGAUUCACUGGGUUUAAAGGGUGCGUAGGUGGGAAUGUAAGUCAGUGGUGAAAUCUCCGUGCUUAACAUGGAAACUGCCAUUGAUACUAUGUUUCUUGAAUUUUCUGGAGUCAGCGGAAUAUGUCAUGUAGCGGUGAAAUGCUUAGAUAUGACAUAGAACACCAAUUGCGAAGGCAGCUGACUACAGGGGAUAUUGACACUGAGGCACGAAAGCGUGGGGAGCAAACAGG
rnacentral:rRNA from 1 species